GAAUUAUGAAUUUGUCAGCUAUGGAUUGUGUCAUGCAAUGGCCCUAGUUGAAUAUGUUGCAGUAUGAUAUGCAGCCAAGACUGUUAGCUUGCUUCUGACGGUCAUAGACUACAUAACUUGAUCAUAACCUUAUGUGAACUCAUUGGAUCAUGUGUGUGGGUCAAUUUUAGAUGCACAUGUUAUAAUGUUCUUGUUUUAGAGCUUGAACUAGAAUGAUCUUGAUGCCUAGAAUGACCUUACAACAAAUACACAAGCUUUGUGACAUGGUUUAAAUUGUGACGUCAAAACUAUUGUAAAACUAAAUAUUAAUUAAACACUAAUUGUU